GACGAACGCUGGCGGCGUGCCUAAUACAUGCAAGUCGAACGAGAGCGACCGGUGCUUGCCCUGGUCAAUCUAGUGGCGAACGGGUGAGUAACACGUGGGUAACCUGCCCAUCAGAGGGGGAUAACAUCCGGAAACGGAUGCUAAAACCGCAUAGGUCUUCGAGCCGCAUGGCUUGAAGAGGAAAAGAGGCGCAAGCUUCUGCUGCUGGCUGGACCCGCGGUGCAUUAGCUAGUUGGUGAGGUCACGGCUCACCAAGGCCGUGAUGCGUAGGCGAACUGAGGGAGUGAUCGGCCACAUUGGGACGUAGACACGGACCAAACGCCUACGGGAGGCAGCAGUAGGGAAUCUGCCGCAAUGGACGCAAGUCUGACGGAGCAACGCCGCGUGAGUGAAGAAGGUUUUCGGAUCGUAAAACUCUGUUGUUAGAGAAGAACAAGUGCUAGAGUAACUGUUAGCGCCUUGACGGUAUCUAACCAGAAAGCCACGGCUAACUACGUG
rnacentral:rRNA from 1 species